AGAGGUGGCAAGCGUUGUUCGGAAUUACUGGGCGUAAAGGGCGCGUAGGCGGUCUUGCAAGUCCCGUGUGAAAUCCCUCGGCUCAACUGAGGAAUGGCACGGGAAACUGCUUGGCUUGAGUUCGGGAGAGGGAAGCGGAAUUCCGGGUGUAGCGGCGAAAUGCGUAGAUAUCCGGAGGAACACCGGUGGCGAAGGCGGCUUCCUGGACCGACACUGACGCUGAGGCGCGAAAGCUAGGGGAGCAAACGGGAUUAGAUACCCCGGUAGUCCUAGCCGUAAACGAUGAGCGCUGGGUGUAGGGGGUAUUGACCCCCCCUGUGCCGAAGCUAACGCAUUAAGCGCUCCGCCUGGGGAGUACGGUCGCAAGGCUG
rnacentral:rRNA from 1 species